GAGACCGGAAGUGGUCAUCAGCAAGUGUGGAGCCAAACAGAGUACGGUGCAUAGACUGUACAUACAUUUUUUUUCGUGAGUUUUCAUGGUCAAAAUGAGAGAUCAGGUGGCCGAUCUUAAAAUAAAUCAAUAUUGAUUUUUUUUUUUUUUAUAGAGCGUUAAAGUUUUGCGAAGCCAGGGGGCGGGGGUACUUGAUUGACAGUCCGGUCUGGAAUGAUUGACAGGUCCUAUGGAGGAAGCAGCAGAGACUCUGCUCUCCUCUAUUGGAUUAAUUCUGAUAUAAUAGCUGUUGGUUUAUUUAUCGGUGGAGCAGCAGAACAUUUUCCACAGACAGUUUUCCUGCCCGUUGGCUUGUUUUAACCAGUUUUCUACCUUCGGCUGAUUCUACCAGCAGACACUGAAAGGACUCUAAUAGUUCGAGUGAAAGUAGCAGUUCCUCCUUAAGGUCAGAGAUUGCAGCAUCUGAGGGCCUCUUCAAAAGAAGACAUAGUUGAUGAAGGCGUUCUGGAGCAGGACCAGAAAGACCACGACCAAGCAGCCUUGAGAUCUUAGGCAGCGUCUCCCUCGGGUCCCUCUCUAUCUCCCCACACAUCCACCAACCACUGGAACACAUCUCCAAAGUUCUGCCGGGCCAGCUCAGCUUCCCCUCAGAAGAAGUGCCGCCACCUGCCAGAUGAAGGAGCCUUUUGAGAGGCAGCUGGCAUCGUGAUUGGACUGUACUUUGGUCUGUUCCAAUCCAGCUUCAGCUCCAGAGACGGCAGGCGGGACGAGUCAACGGAGGCCGGGUGGACGAAGGCAUGCAGCUGAGUACAAUCCAGAAAACAACAGAGGAGAAGUGCAGCAGCCCAGUAUAGCCUUCGACCAAAGAACUACAGACUCUUCACAACCUGCUCAAACUCUUGGUACAGGACCUCACCACACGGGUCAAGAAGGUUUCCGUCUCAUUUCUACUCUGAAGCUCACCUUCUCCUGCUCAAACUGCUGACAAAUGUUUCUGCUGCUCUAAAGUCUGGUCUCCAGAACUUCCUAAAAACUCUCAAAGUCUCUUCUGCUGCAGGUUGCUUUGUAGAACUGUUCCAGAAAACCUCACUAAACCACAUGGAGGGGCCUCAAGAUAGUCGUCCAAAUGAAACCAUACAAAAACCAAACUAGCACAACCCAAACGCUAAAGUCUCCUGCAGCCUACCAGAGAACCUCUGAGAACAGAGAAUCAGGACAGGAACUCUUACCUUCUGGACAACCAACGUUGGUUCACAAACAAGAAUACAGAAUGUGUCUGACCAAAAACCUCUAAAGACUCACUACAGCCAAGAUAAAGACACAACUCAGCUGCACCAAAUCCACUAAUCACUGCACACAUUAGCACCAUGUGCUAACUGUGGCUAAAGAACCACAUUUACCAAGACAACUAUCCAGUACAAAGCCCUAAAACACACCAAGAAACACAUUAAAGACGAUUUUACUGCUGGAAGCUGCAAGCCAACGCCUAAAGAACAAACUAAAGCAAUGGAGCCAAACCCAGUUCAAUGGUGAAGAGAAGCAGAGGAAAUGUUUGUCUGCAGCUAAAUAAAGCAGGAAGACACUGAGCUGCUCAGGUGUUCCUGAUAACACCAAGCAGCCACCUGGACAGCCAAUAGGAACACAGCUUACUGGAAGUCCAGAGGGCUGGCUUAGUGAAGGAAAUUUAGUUUAAAGUUGAAGCAGAAAGUUAACAAAGAAAGUUGAAAACCACCUUCUGAUACCUGAAAUCUCUGAGUUUUCACACAAAGAACACCUGAACAUGUCAAACUGGUUCCAUAGUAGAACCAUCAUUGUAAAAACAUCAUAGUAUGGUGUGUUGCUCAAAAAACAUUACGACCCGGCUGUCUAGGGUCGCUGAGGAGCAACACAAAAACAGGACAAACGCUGGUUUCCAGGGGGUUAGACGGCUAUUUAUUUGAAAGAGUAAGUUUACAACAACACAACAUGUGAGCAGAAAAAUCACAAAGUCUGUCUUUAGUUCAGCUGAAAAUAUUAGUUUUUGUCUUUUUUAUUGACCAAACUUUUCAGGAAGUAGAUGAAGAAUAAUUAAAGCUCUCAUGUAGAAGUCCAACUUAUUUUGGAUCCUUGUGGAGAGUUUAAUCUUAGAGUUUGUAAAGCUGUUGAGUUUUUAGAGUCACAUGGAUUGUUUUGACAUUUAAUAACCGAGUCCUGAAAUAAAAUUACAGUUGUG